rnacentral:lncRNA from 1 species
UGGAGAUGGAAUUCAGAGCACAGACCUGAUUGAGAACUCUGUGAGGCACGUUCUUUUUUCCCAUCAUGCGUCAAUAAAGAAAAGAUACAGCACUGACAUACAACUGAAAAGGAACAAAGGCUUCAAGACGCCAGCCUGAGGACAUUGAAGCCUCCAGAUGGAAAUGCAGCUCUUACAGUCACCUUGAUUUUAGCCAGUGAAAUGCACAUCAGACUUCUG